rnacentral:rRNA from 1 species
UACGGAGGGUGCGAGCGUUGUUCGGAAUUACUGGGCGUAAAGCGCGCGUAGGCGGCUGGAUAAGUCGAUUGUGAAAGCCCCGGGCUCAACCUGGGAAUUGCAGUCGAGACUGUUCGGCUAGAGUGUGGGAGAGGGCAGUGGAAUUCCCGGUGUAGCGGUGAAAUGCGUAGAUAUCGGGAGGAACAUCAGUGGCGAAGGCGACUGCCUGGCCCAACACUGACGCUGAGGUGCGAAAGCGUGGUAGCAACAGG